rnacentral:lncRNA from 10 species
ACAUGAAUAGGAACUGCAAUUGAAAAAGUGUCAACCAGCAAAGAGUGGGGAGAUGAGUGGGCCUCUCAGCCAGUUUCAGAUAGGAAAAGCAGAGUGUUAAGCAAUAUGGGUAUUUUUAAUAAUAUGUUCAAACAAACUUACUUGGGCUUGUGUAUGUACCCCCCAAACACACACACACACACACACACACACACACGCACACACACACUGGGGUAGAACUACUCAAAAGCCCUCUGAUCAGAAAGAUUGUGCAUCCUGAGACCUGCCUUGCCUGCUCUGAGGGCAGAUCCCAGGGAACGCACCCUCACAGUCCCCCCACGUGGCUAUCCCCAGUCUGCCUUGGUGAGAGCAAUGUGUUUGAAUGCAGUAGGAGAGGAAGGGAAGUGGGAAUGUGCAAAUCGCCCCAUGGUCCCGACCUGCUCAGAGGCUACUUCCCAACUGGAACUCUUGCACACGGUAAUAGAAAUGUAAACGGUAUAACUUCUUUAAAAACAGAUGGUUUCUUUCUUAGAAAGUUAAACAUACACUUAACGUACAACCUGACAAUUCUGCUCUUAGAUAUUUAUUUAAGGGAAUGAAGCCAUGAUCUACAUUGUCUUGGCCAUAGAUAUUCACAAGGUUUAUUUAUACAGCUUCGAUCUGGAAAGAACCCAGACAUUCAUCAUUAGGUAGCUGGGUGAAGACUGUGGGUCAUGCACACAAUGGGAUAUCCCUUAUCAAGGAAAAGGAGCAGGCGUCUGAAAUACACAAUGAGCAAGAAAGCCAGACACAAAGGAACAAAAUUAGCUGGACACUGCCUGAUUCCAUUUCUAUGACAUUCUAGAAGAGGUAAAACUAAUCCGCAGUGAUGGAUGGUAGUUCAAUGGUUAUGUGAGAGUGGGGGUGAGGGUUGGGAGCAAAAGACCUUGAGGGACCUUCGUGGAAUGAAGGAAAUACUUGUGUCUUGAUUGGGUGUUGGUUACAUGGGCGUUUGCAUUUGUCAAAACUCCUUAGACCACACAGAAAAUGGGUACAUUUUAUUGUAUGCAAAUUAAACCUCAAUAAAGUUGAUUUUUAAAUGCUGCUAAUCAUUGUUAUAAAUUAAACAAAAGAUUUACAAAUUGUGACCUGAAUAUUUUUCUAGAAGUGGGAAACAUGAUUGCUUUUGACUUCGUCAUUUCAGUGGUAUCAAAAAGUGAAUGACUAUUGUGGGCUGGAGUUAGUUUUGUACUUUCUACACUUUAUCCACUGCCGGUUGCUUUACCAAAUCCUCUGCUCAGCACUGGAGACUGGGAAGACAUCUGUCUCUGACUGUCCUCCUCCACCUCCCACCAAAGCACCACAGGGAUCAUGAAUAUCCCUAAUUAUACUGGCCUCCAUCAAAACACACACACAUCAUGAAGGAGCGGUCACCUCUGUGUGUUCCAAGGCCACUUUCCUUUCAUCAAUCCUGAGUAUUGACUUUUUAAACUUGCAGCUUUGUUUUUUUUUGUUUACCCAUUUUCCUUUGAAUCAUCUGACUACAUUUCUUUCUUAGAGAUGGCCACAGCCAAACCCUGCUUUUUGGCUGUAGGUCUUUUGGCUAGAGGCCCUUCAGUUUUAGGAAAGCAUCUUUUACUAUGGAGACAACAUUUCAUGUUAUUUAACUUUAUGACUUAAAAACAACCUCGGAAAAUCUUCUGGCAGAGAUUGCAGACGCCAAGUUUGAAGUGGAAUCGGUGUCAACAAUAAAGUCAUGGCCCUUCAUUAGGAGGUUUUCCCAUUGCACAGGAGAGACCAGUUGCCCAGUUUGACUUCUUUGAUGUUCACAGCGCCUGGAUUUGAUGCUUAAUGGGUUUGUGACUGCAGUGAAAUGCCGUUCAUUAACUUUUGUUAUAUGUUGAAUUGUCUUCAGAUGAGGUAUGUAUCCUAUUUGAGCAAAGAAAAAAUAAUUCAUUUGGGCCUUAUAAUUUCAAAAUUUGGAGUCACAUUGGGAUGGAAUUAAUACACCCAUUAGCUUAACAAACAAGAAACAAACCAAAAAGAGAGAGAGAUGAAAGAUAUGUUGGGGAAAUGAGGUUCAUAAGAGACUUUAGCUGUGCUGUUUAGCCUACUAAAAAUUCAUCUUGUAGGAGCACUUAGCUCUAUGUUUAUAUCUAUUCGCGUAAAGCAGAUAUGAAUUUUAAAUGAUUAUUACAUGAAU